GUUCGGAGGGCGCGUUGAUACUGGAGCGAGAGAGAAGAGAGGGAGUGAGAGACGAAGGAAGGAACGAAGGAGUCCUCGCACGGCCAAGCGGUGGAAGAUAGGAGGGGAGGGUUUCGAAUGGGUUUCCGUACUUCGUCUCUUUUUGGUCUCUCUCAUCUCUUUUUUCUCUUUCCCUCCUUGAGUAGCCAUCUAUCUCCUAUUUUCUCUCUUUUAUCCGUCUCUUGGUCUAGCUACAGUGUUUCGAUCAAAUGCCCGAGGGUUUCUUGUCUCACUUCUUGUAAUCUUGGUGGAAACUAUCCGAUUCUUGUUGCUUCUAAGCUUUGUGACCGAAUGCGGUUUAAUUCUUCUAUUUCUUGAUUCGUACGGGGUCAGUGUUGGUUUCGUUUCAACCGUAGACGGCGAAGGAGUAGAGGAUCUUCAUGCAGUGCUGGUGUCGAUCCGAUCGAUUUGAAUUUUUUCUGGUGUUGUUGGUUUAUCCUGGAGCUCAGUCUCACCGACUGUUGGCUACUUCUCUGCUGAUGGUCCUUGAGGAUCAGGACACAUUCUUGCAUUGGUGGGUAAUCUCAUAUUUCUUACUCUUUUACAUCCUUGCUGAAACCCCCUUUAUCUGUAAUGGAUUCAAUCUUUUGUUGUUUUGCUAAUCACAAUUUUGGGAGGUUGCAUAGAAUCCUUAUGUUGCACGUUCUUUCUUUCUUCCUUCCUUUCUUUAAAGUGCUUCACAAAUUUCUUAUUUCUUGUGAAAUAUUACUAUGCUAUUUGUUGAGGUGAUUUCAUUGUUGGAAUGCAUGAGUAGAAUUAUUGCAUGCAGUAUCUUUCUUCUUUCUGGCAUUAUUUUCUUUAUUUGAUGCUUUUUUUUUCCCUGAAAAAUUGAUUUUGUUCUGUUUCACUGAUGUGUUCAGUCAUUUCAAUGUUGGAUGACUUAUUUCACAAAAGAAUUUGAAUGCUUGGAUGGAAUUUUUCUAUUCCAGUUUCAUUCUUUCUUUUUUUCGUGCUAUCUUCUUUGCUCUUGAUAUAUUCUAAUUUCUCAUACAGAUUUGUUCUUUUGCUUUUUUACUAAUACUUUUGGUGAUUUUAAUGUUUGGAGGCCUGAAUGGAUCUUGCUUUAACAAGCCUUUUUCUAGAUCAACAUCUUUAUUUACGUAUUAGUGUAAACCUUUCAAACCAAGGUUUCAAGUGCUGCAAGUUUUCUAGUUAAUGGCAUAGUGCUAGGGAACUGACUUAAUUGUCGUAGGCAUUUGCAGUCCAGAUCUCACAAGGAUCUGAUAGUUUGAACUGGUGUUUGUGUUGUCAGAUCAGAUUAUGUGAUAUGUGAAUGUCUGACAUGGUUGGAAGUUGUACGAGUAAUUGGUGGCAGCAAUAAAUGGGAAGUGAAGAAGGAUACAUAAAAUUGAUCCCAGCAUCUGGGACAAGGCUUCUUGGUUAUGGUUUGUGGAAAUUGACAGUGGAUUGAAAUUGGUAGUUUGGUGCAUGGGUUUUCAGCUUGUGCAGUGAAGAUGAUAUUUUUGUCGAACUUGCUUCCCCUUUUGCUUCUUUCUCAAGGAAAGUGUGAUUUGUUCAUUUUUGAUUGGAUAUUAUGUUUCUUUUGAUUUGUUAACUUUUUUUUUUAAAGUUUCCAUUUAUCUGUCCUUUUCCAUAAGUAAUCGUUGACAUAGUUGAUGCAGGAUAGAAAAUAAAAAUCCAGAGUCCAAAUAAAAUUCUAUAAUCCAAAUAAAAAUAAAUUUUCUAAUUGCAAAUAAAACAAAAUUUUCUAAUUUCUAUAAUUUUGUCUAACAUAAGUAUGCUUAAAUUACUUAUUAUUGGAUGGUCCUUUGUCAAGAGUGAAGUUGCUUAUGAUAAUGUUGCUGAUGGUGAUAUUUAUUUGUAUGCCAUCCAGUGUCAGAUUUCAAAAGUUUUCACUGACAGCAAAAUAGCUAUUAGAAGCUUUGAUUUCUUCAAAUGCUGAUUAAUUGUUUAUUUAAUGUAUAUGGUGCUUGGUCUGCAUUUAUUAGUUUGAUUACUUUUUAUUUACUUUGUAUAUAGAUUGGUUCUGCCUGAUACAUUUGAGCUUGCAUUGUUUUCAUUGAGUUGGAAUCUUGGUGGAGGAAGACUAAUAGAAAUGGAGAAAUAUGCAUUUCUUAUUAUUUAUAUGAUUAUUGUUUAUGUGCAAUAUCAUACAAAAGAAGUUUUCCAUAAUUUUAAUUUUUGGUUUUCAUUACUUUCUGUUUUAAUUAUAAGGAAUGACUGAGUUCUUUUAUUAUCUUAGAAUGCUAAGUGAAGGGAUAAAAUGCUAUUCUCAUUGCACAUAGUUUUAGAGUUUUACAUGAUGCCAAUUACUCUCUCUCUCUCCUCUCGUCCAAAUACGCGAUCCCAAAAGCAUCAUCAGCUGACCAGAUCACACCCAUCCAUCAAAUAUUGUUUCACCUUGACUACAUGCAUUACAAUACCAUUUAUUAGUGAAUGCCACUUUCAAAGGAGUUGUCUGCAACCAUAAUCCACAUAUGGUGCUUCAUGCAUAGCUCUUGAACUUGCUCAAAGCCUAGCUACUACUAUUAACUGGAUAAUCAACCGCAAGUCUUGACUGAAUCCAAUCCUGAAUAGGCAGAAGAUUGACAACUGUAAUGAUGUAUCCCUAUGUCCAAUUGAAGAAAUCAACUUAUUUGGGAAAGCGCCUCAUUUUUGUGAUUUUCAGUGAAGGAAUGCUGCCUAACAUUGUCAUUCAAGGGGUCUCUAAUUUGCAUAUACUGAUACGAGCAGGUACUUUUUAGUAUAUUUUUUUAAUCUCAAGGUCAAAAAUGAUAUGGAUUCUUGCAAAUCUCAUAAAAAGGACUACUUUGGUGAUACUCCUGAUCAUUAAGACUCCUACUUUCCUGUGUACUGGUUGUUACAGUUGUCAUGUUUUCGGUUUGCAAUAUGACAACCUUGUGAAGAAAUCAUAGACAGUCAAAGACAUUAUAGUUUAAGAGAACCCAAAAGCUCAUAGAUAAUUGCUAUGCAACCAUUCAGGAGUCCUUUUCUUUUUCCUUCCUGAUGACUUGACUCUGUUAUGUCUAAGCAGUCCUGAAUAGUCCAAUUAAGCAAAAUAGAUCUCAACAAACAAAUAGGGACUGAACCAAAAGCAUGACUAUGAGGUGUUUGCACAUAUGUCUAUGAGAGCUACUGGUGAAGAACUGGAAGAUUUGGACUUGAACUGAAAUUUCAUGGGUCCUAUGAUCUUUUAGGGCCUUCCAGCGUUCAAUCUUCGCCUUGAUUGACCUAAUUUUUAAUCGACCCAUGCUUUUCUUUCCAUAGUACUUGCUUAAAAACCAGUAUUAAACCAAGAAGCCACCAAGUCCUCCAAAGAAAAAGAAAUUUUGAUUUGUUCAAAGAUAUUGUCAAUUAACCACUUUCUUAUCUCUUUAGAGAGCUAAUAAGAUGAAACAAAGCAUGCAUAUUCUCUCUCCUAUCAAGAUUCUGUAGAUAUCUGAUGCAGAUUUCAGAACAAACACGCCAAUAUAAAGAAAGGAAGAACUGCGAGGGGAGUGACGCAGAUGACUGACCUCCUGAGCCCACGAGGAGGGGAGUGGCAUGAUACGACAGAGGAAGCCGCUUCUUGGGCAUCAAGGGGGGAGGAAGAGAGGUGGAAUAAGUUGAGGAAGGCAAAGGAUAGGUGCGAAACAGCAAGGGAGGCAGAAGGGGGGCAGCGGCAGCGGAGGAGUGGGAGAAUGGAUGGGAUAGGAGGAAGGAGGAAGGGUGAUCUUGGCUUUCUUCUUUGACUUUCCUCCUGCACCCAAAAGAAAUCCAGAGAUCAGGUGGUGUGUGAAGACAAUUAUCUCCAAUUUUGCAAGCUCUGCUCCAGGGCACUGCCUUAUCCCCCCUCCAAAUGGCAUGAAGUGCUUGGGUUUUGCUUUACCAGAUGCAUCCUUCAAGAAAGAAGAGAAUAAUUAUUCUCCCAAGAGCUGAUGAGAAUGGUGGCAAUCUGUUCAGCAUCCGGCAAAAUCCAUGAUUCAAGCCUUUUGCUGCAAAAGAAGUUGAGGAAGAUGGACCUCUGGAACUUGUGGACAUUUCCUAAUGCUACUGGAGUGGCAGGCUCCCCAAUCAUCUUGACAGCAUGUUGUGGCCAGCCAUGUUCAAACAAUUUCAUAUCAUUUUGUAGUAUGAAAUGGUUCAGCUCAGCAUCUGCAGAAACUACUGCCAGGUUCCCAAACAAGCUUGUCAUGAGGAUCUUUCUCAACCUGCAAGAGUCCGAAGGGUUGCGAGGGAGAAAUCUUAUUAUUUACUUUUCAGUCAUAAAAUAUCCAUCCACUGAAAUGGAUGAUGCAGCAGUGAAGUCAGCAUUGAUGAGAAAAAAUUAUUCAUGAAUGAAGAUUAAGGAUAUAAUCAACAACGUCGCUGCAUGUGAUUCAUGUUUUCUGGCUUCUAUUUAGCCUGCAGUAUUUAUUUGCCUGUUCUAACCAUACAUACUUGAUGCUUCAAGAGAGAACGCUCAGGUGUUUCUGAUAAUUAAAACUCUGUAGGAUCACAAACCUGAAAAUGUGGUGCUCCAUGAAAGAUCCCAGUUUAUAUGAUGCACGGAUCUUCAGAAAAGAGAUGGUCUUCUCUUCCGAAGGCUCUUUAAGGAUUGGACCACAAUGAGUACUGUGAUUAUAAAGAUGAUCACAGGAAGUAUAGCGGGGGACAUCUCUCUCUCUCUCUCUCUCUCUCUCU